GGUGGGGGGUAGGGGGAUGGGGUAACUGGGUGAUGGGCAUCAAGGAGGGCAUGUGAUGCAAUGAGCACUGGGUGUUUUAUGCAGCUGAUGAAUAACUGAACUCUACAUCUGAAAGUAAUGAUAUACUAUAUGUUGGCUAAUGGAAUUUAAAUUUUAAAAAAAGAUUUAUUUAUUUCUUAGAAAGAACAAGGAGGAAGGGCAGAGGGAGAGAAAGAAUCCUCAAGCACUCCUCGCUGAGUGCAGAGCACAAUGUGAGGCUUGAUCCCAGGACCCUGAGACCAUGACCUGAGCUGAAACCAAGAGCUGACGCUCAACCAACUGAGUCACUCAGGCACCCCUUAUACUACCUUAAGACCAUACCAGUUCUCUCAAAGUCUUCUCAAUCUAAAAUUGUGCCUCUUCUAGCUAUAUGACAUGAUGGAUAUAAACUGAAUUUACUGUGGUCAUCACUUCACAGUAUAUCUAUUCCUGAGAACUCUCCGAACUCUCCCAGCAUGACUCUCCCGUGAAAUGAGGGCCACAGUGUGUGAAGGGUCCACAGAAAACCAUUUCCCAACCUCUUGGAUAUUGGCUUUGUAGGAUAACAUCCUUUAAAGAUCCAUUGCUGCAAUCAUUUUGGAGGCAAUAACUCCUGAGGACAGGAGGAGAGAGGGUGCUGUCUCUAAAAUGGAGCAUGCCUUCCCAAGGGAGAGAGCAUGGUCAACUGGGGUAAGGAAAAUAAGUACCAGAAAUUCUAUUUGUUUUUUCAUCUCAUCCUUCAAAUUUAUAUUUUUGUAUAUAUUUCAUAAUGUCAUAAAGUGCAUGUGAAAAAUGGGGAAAUAUAUUGUGGUAUCCUCUAAAAAUUCUUCACUAACAGUGAUGUACAAUCAAGAAAGUGUUGGUAGAUGUCUUUAUGGAGCGGCUUUAAAGAGACCAUCUAUGUGAGUUGUUCCUAAAAGGCAUCACCCUGGAAAGGGCUCCUCUUGUCUGCCAGGUUGGAAACUAUUCCCCUGGGCCAUUGUGGUGUCCAAAUGAGUUAAACCUGGCUCAUUAAAUCUCUAAAUUUGAAUGAAAACAACCUUGCCCAGGUUAAUCGCAUGGUUCUUAGUCUGUGUGUUUGCUUUUUGCAACACCUGACUCCAAACAACUUUUGGAGGUUUCCUAAUAUCACAUCUACCUUUACAGGAGACCUGCUUUCAUGGGUGAUAUUUAAAAAUUUCUUCCCAGACGCACCUGGGUGGCUCAGUUGGUUGGGCGACUGCCUUCGGCUCAGGUCAUGAUCCCAGAGUCCCUGGAUCGAGUCCUGCAUCUGGCUCCCUGCUCAGUGGGGAGUCUGCUUCUCCCUCUGACCCUCUCUCCUCCUAAUCUCUC